rnacentral:rRNA from 1 species
UACGCGGGCGGUUUGUUAAGCGAGAUGUGAAAGCCCCGGGCUCAACCUGGGAACUGCAUUUCGAACUGGCAAACUAUAGUGUGAUAGAGGGUGGUAGAAUUUCAGGUGUAGCGGUGAAAUGCGUAGAGAUCUGAAGGAAUACCGAUGGCGAAGGCAGCCACCUGGGUCAACACUGACGCUCAUGUACGAAAGCGUGGGGAGCAAACGGGAUUAGAUACCCCGGUAGUCCACGCCGUAAACGAUGUCUACUACAAGCUCGGAACCUCGGUUCUGUUUUUCAAAGCUAACGCAUUAAGUAGACCGCCUGGGGAGUACGGCCGCAAGGUUAAAACUCAAAUGAAUUGACGGGGGCCCGCACAAGCGGUGGAGCAUGUGGUUUAAUUCGAUGCAACGCGAAGAACCUUACCUACACUUGACAUACAGAAAACUUUCUAGAGAUAGAUUGGUGCCUUCGGGAACUCUGAUACAGGUGCUGCAUGGCUGUCGUCAGCUCGUGUUGC